rnacentral:miRNA from 1 species
CUUGGCACUGGCGGAAUAAUCA